AGUUUGAUCCUGGCUCAGAACGAACGCUGGCGGCAGGCUUAACACAUGCAAGUCGAACGCCCCGCAAGGGGAGUGGCAGACGGGUGAGUAACGCGUGGGAAUCUACCGUGCCCUGCGGAAUAGCUCCGGGAAACUGGAAUUAAUACCGCAUACGCCCUACGGGGGAAAGAUUUAUCGGGGUAUGAUGAGCCCGCGUUGGAUUAGCUAGUUGGUGGGGUAAAGGCCUACCAAGGCGACGAUCCAUAGCUGGUCUGAGAGGAUGAUCAGCCACAUUGGGACUGAGACACGGCCCAAACUCCUACGGGAGGCAGCAGUGGGGAAUAUUGGACAAUGGGCGCAAGCCUGAUCCAGCCAUGCCGCGUGAGUGAUGAAGGCCUUAGGGUUGUAAAGCUCUUUCACCGGAGAAGAUAAUGACGGUAUCCGGAGAAGAAGCCCCGGCUAACUUCGUGCCAGCAGCCGCGGUAA
rnacentral:rRNA from 1 species